AACUUCCUGAUUGCAAUACAAAUACAUGCAUCAUUAAUAAAGAAGUAGUACACAGCCAUGGUUAUUGUUCACCUUAUAGUGAACUUUGUGAUAAUUUUAGUGCAUGGGAUAAACUCAGGUGCAGAAGCCCAGGUGGUCACCUUGUCUCCGACCUCUCCCACUGUGUCAGAGUACAGUCCUCUGACAUUGACUUGUGAAACACAAAGCACAAACACUGAACAUAUUAUAUGGAGUAAGCUGGGAGAAUUGCAUUCUAAUUUUGCUAUCGGAACCAUCGUUAUUAAGGGUGACAACGACUGUUCUCCCCCAUAUCCUUCUUUUGCACCCAACUCCACACUAUACACCUACGCCUGUCCAGCUAGAAACAGACUCACACUUACUAUUAAAAACGUUACGAGGACAGAAAACGAAGACAAAUGGAAAUGCCAAGUUAACGUUGACGGGAAAACAGAACACAGCGAGAUAGCGACAAUUACAGUGCAAGUUGGCAUCACUGACGUGACGUUAUCCCCCGCCACUAACCCCAUCAACGUAAUAGAGAAUACCGAAACGACAUUGCAGUGUCGAACAUCGGGCGGGUUACCGGCUGCCUCGGUCAGAUGGUUCAUACAAAGGUCAGAGCAGGUGCAAGACGUAACGUCGCUCUCCACGAACACGUACCAAGAGGAUGAUGAUCUCAAUGUGACGCGGAGCACACUUAGCUUUACUCCAUUAAAAUCUGACCAGAGUGGCCAGAUAUUCUGUUCAGCAAUCAAUGUGGGAGUGAAGAGGAAUUCCACAAAAGCAUAUAUAAAUGUAUUAUAUGGCCCAAAAUUAGGGACUUUGCAGAACGUUAGGAAAGUCCGUGGGGAAACCUUUGUUUACAAGUGCUUGUACACACCGGGCAACCCCCCAACUGUUGACUUUGAAUGGACGAGGUCCGGAACAAACGUCUCCUGGAUCAUACAGAAAACACAUAACUUGACCAUUCUAAACGUGCAGCGCAGUGACGAGGCCAAUUACACGUGCAAGGUGUCAAGUGUUCUCCAGCCAACGUUGUCAUCAGUGACGACUACACAGUAUGACACUGCAACAUUUUAUUUAGAUGUUCUUUAUGGAGCGGAAAAUUUGAUAUUACAUCUCAACAACGUUUCUCACGAAUCGGUAGAAAUUGAGGAGCAUUCUUCAAACCAUUUUCGGUGUUUGCUAGAAAGUGACCCCGGUGCGGAAAUGUCUCUUACCAAAGACAGUAGGACGAUAAUUGCAAUACCUGGAGUACACCAACUCACACAUGAACUACAAGCUGAAUGUUCCGAUACAGGAGUGUAUACGUGCUCAGGAUACAAUCAGUAUGGGACAGCGGAUAACAUGUCAGUGCACUUAUUUGUAAAAUGUUCCGCAAGGCGACCCUCAGGAGUGGAGGUACAGCUUAACUUCACCGCACGCCAAUAUGGAAAUGCAACCUUAGUAUACAAAGUUGUCGCUUAUCCUGUGCCAAAGCACUCACAAUUUGUUUGGAAGCGUUGUUCGAAUGGCAGUUCAUGUGACCUUUUGCCAGAUGAUAUAAACAAAUUUGAAAUUAACACAGAAGGUCUCACAAGUACCUUAACGAUUCUGGAUGUUCAGAUUGAAGAUUACAGAUUGUACCAAUUGUCAGUGUCUAACGGAGUUGGUGAUACACUAGUGGAAUGGUUACACCUUAGACCCAUCGAUCAUACCAAAAGCAGUUCAAGUGCUGGCCCUGUUGUUGGAGAGGCGAUUGGCGGAACGUUUGGAGCGCUCGUGGCCAUAGUUGUCGUCGUUGUCAUUCUCAGACGGAAAAGGGCUCUAAAAUGCAUGGAUUCCUCGGCGGAGAAAAUAGGUAUGCAUAUUUGUUUAGAUAAUUUAAUCUCUUGUAUUCGGUUGCAUAUUUCAGUCGAUUAUCUUGUACGUAUGUUUGUAUAUUUCAUAUUUCCUUCAGCUUUAAAUCGGCCAGUUAACCAGUUUAAAUGCGUAUAUUUAAAGACCAAGUUUAAGGAAUGUCUAUCGUGUUAGUCCCCAUCCAUUGUUUCAUGGACCUUUAGCCACAGCAAGGUGCCAUCUGUUGUUUGUUGGCGAAUUGCCAUUUACAGCUGUGUUUAAAAAGGUCGCAUCAGUUAUGCUCUUACUCAUCAAUAUUCAUUAGUCUGAGGUCUGAUCAGUUAUGCUCUGACUCAUCAAUAUUCAUUAAUCUGAGAUCGGAUCAGUUAUGCUCUGACACAUCAAUAUUCAUUAAUCUGAGAUCGGAUCAGUUAUGCUCUGACUCAUCAAUAUUCAUUAAUCUGAGAUCGGAUCGAUGAUAACAACCAUAAGAGAGCAAGUAAGAUAAGGAUUUAUAAACAACCCUGUAUCAUACCCUGAAUUUGUUGGGGUCACUUAUAGCAGGGCUAAAAUAGGCCUCUUAUGGUAAAAACCGAUAUCGUAUUACAUCGACAGUCAAACCUGUUUUAAGUGUCUUAACUUAGUCCAGGACUUUUCUGACACUUUGGCCAUGUCCAAACAGAGGUCGAUUAUGUAUGUUAACCACCACCUCAAACCACAAUCGGUAUCAUCAGUACCAUUGUUAAUAAAGAAGUUGUAAAAAAAAUCUUUAUUGCAAAAUUAUAUUUAGAAUGCAAUAGAUAAAGGCUAAUACAAAGCAAAAACAAAAAAACACAAAAAAUCAGUCCACACGACUACAUGUACAUUUUAAGUUGAAUAUUUAAAGUAAUCAGUCAAUUUCGUUUGCUUGACUUCUGUCUGUAAUUUAAAGGGCAUUCGCAUUGAGCCGACAUUAUCAUUUCAAAGCAUGUCACUCUGUGAGUCGAAAACCAUGAAUGUAUGUGUUGACGCGUCAUGAGACUUUUGGCCCGAAACCGAUAGCCUCGAUUUCGAGAAAAACGUGCGCAAAGUUAAAGCGUAAAAAAUAAGAAAGUAAUGAAGUUUUUAUCGUAAAAACAACCAUUAAACAAUUUGUCACCCUAGAUUGUUCAGUCAAAUAUAUUCUUUACAAUGUAAUGUUCAUAGAAAUAUUGUUUUUUAACCACUUUCUUUCGUAUUGUUUAUUACUUUUGGUGUUAUCUCCCGUAGUUGUCAUGAGCUAUUUUUUGACCCAAAUUUGAGGAUGUAGAUCAAGCUGAACCAAAGGCAUUUACAUCAAAUUAGGAAUUUGUUGGUAAGUAGAAUUAGUUUCAUUGUUUAAGCAUAUAAUUUCACAAAUGUGUAUAUCUUUAAUGUAAUGCAAUAUAUUCUAAAUUCGGUCAAAUGAAUGGAAAUUGAUCGCAGGAAAAGAAAGCGGAAGUGAAAUUUGACAGUCUGACAUUGAAAAUAUCAACAGAUCAAAAUCCAGCAGAUAUUCUCUUUUUGCAUACUUAUGAUGACUGAAAAAGGACAUAAUCAAUUUUUCAUCAUCUUACCGCGGCCAACUAUCAAUACAAUUAUUGAUGGAUUUUACGAAUUAAUUUUGAGUUGCAGCUUAACUGUCUUUUUAGCUAUGUUGAUGAAUUUAAAGUUGUAGAUGAACUUUUUUUUGCAAUGUUGAUUUAUGUGCAUAACAUACAAUCUCAUGAGGUUAAGGUACUUUGAAAUAAAUUUCUGUUAUGAUGAAGAUGAUCAUGAUGAUUAUGAAAAUAAUGAAGACUAAUGCAGAUGGGGGAAAUGUUUAUAUAGAAUAAGAGCACAAUACUCUAAAAGCCAGGACCAAUAUUAAUGACUGUAGCUGCAAGCUGCUUUUUGAGUAUGCAUGACAUUCAGACUAACAGGAAAUUUCUUUGGCAUGCAAUAUUGUGUACAUGUUGAUCUGCCGGGGCAUCACCCCAACUAUAAACAGUUAAAGAUUUGUAUUUCUGUAAAUACAUAUUUUUAGAACAUUAUGAUCAAAUGUGAAUUUUAGGUCAAACACCUGCUGUACAUAGAACAACAAUCCAUUACAGCUUUGACUAUGCCGAGCAGGUCUUCUACCUAUACUAGGCACAGCAGGAGUGCCCUGCUUGGAAGUGUUCUGUAAAUCAUAUGGUUCACAGAUAUCUCAGUGAUAAGGGUUUAGCUGUUAUGUGGCCAAUGGUGUGGUACCUCAUUUUCAACAUCAUCCAUAUAGAGAAGACUCUGCAUACCUGCACAUUGACAACUGUGUUUGGUGGAAUAAAAACAAUGCAGUCAUUGGGGUCUGAUGUAUUCUGAAGGGAAAGACACAGCAUUUACUUAAAUGGAAGCAGGUGACAUAAAGUUCAGUCAUGUGUGAGAUUUGGUCUGUGGAAGACCAAAUGGAGGCAGCACUUUGUGGAUUGAUGACCUUGGCAAACUGGUUAUAUUCUUUGACUGGUUGGAGUACACCAAGUGACCCCUGAAGUCCAUUCCAAACUUGAGGAAAUAUCAUCACUUCAGAACUUCAGCUAACAACCCAGUGAGUGCAUUCAUGAGAGAGCAUGCCAAGGACAGUGAGAUUGAAGUUAAAAUUGACAAGCCCACAACAAUGGCUUUUCCUUGGAGAGUACCCUGAACGCAUCCAACUAAAAGGACUUAAUGCUCUGAUCCUUUAAAUAAGUGAAAACACUAAUAUACUGAUAUGUGAUCUUUAUAAACUAAAUAUAAGAUUUAAGAAUGAGCCCGUUACUGAGCUGAUGAAAACGUGCAUCAAUAUUUUAUUGACAGUUAUUAAUUCAAUAGAAACAUGUUCAUGUGAAAUGAAGCUACCAGUGAUUUUGAGUGAAAAACUGUGGUUUUAGCAAAUGAUUGAUAGAAGGGUGCUACACCCUGUCUUUUGUUGGUAGAGCCCCUCUGCCAUAAUGUAGACCACUAUAUGUUUAUUAUUAAUACAAACUUAAAACAAUCUGGCAGUUGAAGCCUAUAAAUGCUUGAAUUGAAGACAUUUAUAAUAGUAUUGUUUGUCAAUAUUAGUUACUUCACAGCCUGAUAAAAUGUACCUUAGCAACCUUUCAGUUUUUCUUCAAUAUCUUUAUUUUUAAAACCUUCCUGAACCCUAUAAAAAUUUUCAGCUUUAACUUUUACCUAUGAAUAAGCAUCGAAAAUAUAAUUUGUCAUGUACUAAUGUGACCAAUUGCAUACCUCUUGAAACUACAUAAUGACGUGUACAUGCUAAGUAGUUAGUAUGUUACAUAAAUUGUUUUCAUUUUUGUAAAAUGUAAAUGUGCCCAUUUAUUAACUGAUCUAAUUUUACAAUAGUGUAAAUUGUGUAGGAUUGUUAUGUUUAUUAAAUUAAGAGUAUCUAUACUACCAUUUCAUGGUUUAUGAGCAAUGAAUGACUAUACAAAAAAUCACAUUUGAGGUAAAUUGGUAAAGUUGGUGUGAUUAUAAUCAUGUUUGUGGCCUGUUGCCAUGGUAACCAGGAUAAAAAACAAACUCUUAAAUACCAUUCAAAUAAGAUAAUUUAUAGUAAAUUACAGGGGUAACAUACUAUAACUUCUAGAUAUACAUUGGUUUGUAUUAGGUGCAAGUUCCAACCUAAUGUCAAUUUAUUGUGAAAAAUUGCCAAUAAACUACGGUACUUGGCGAACAGUUUUUAUUUAUUCGGAUUUUUUUUAUGUCAAAUACAUACACCAUUUACAGUAAGGUUUGAGGAUAUUAAUUAACAGAUCCAUUAUUAUUGAAUGCUUCAUAUGGCAUUUAUUGUAUAUUUAAAUGCAAAUUUAACCCCAAAACGCCUUUUUCAAUAAAGGUUGCCAUGGUAACCAAUUAAUUUUCAUUUAUUUUCUCAAUAAUAAUUUAGAAUGGUUUUGAAAAUAUAUUGUUGUCGUUAUAAUGUGGGAAAUGUUUAUAUUGUAGUGAUGAAUAUUUAUUGCAUCUGUGAAUACAAAUGUUUCAAUAAAUUCUUGAACUUUA